ensembl:lncRNA
AAACCAGUCUACUUGUUACCUGAAGGGCGUGGUUAUAUUGGGGCCAGUGAAUCUGCCGUUUACUCACCUUAUUCGUAACAACGCUCACCUGCUCUCACUUUGUCUCUUUCCCAUUGCUCUCACACACAAAAACACGUCCCAGAGAGGAGAAACUAUCAGGAGAGAAGAAUCAUGUCGGUGGAAGUCCACAUAGAAUAUUGUAGUGGAUGAGGGUACGAGUCUUGCUAUCAGGACCUAGCAUCUGCCAUCAAGCGGAACGUUCCUGAUGUGACGGUGACGGGAACCACGGGGCGGCGCUCCAGUUUCGAGGUAACAGUGAAUGGUAAACUGGCCUACUCUAAACUGGAGGCAGGAGGAUUCCCAGACACCAAGGAGAUGGUGGCGAUGGUGAAGGAGGUGAGCCGUGGAGGAAAGGUGGAGAAAGUGAAGAAGAAGGAUAAUAAGUGUUUUCUCCAAUAGAUGAGUGGUUAUUGAGAGGAGAGUGUUUUUUUAAGAUCCUGGGUCCUGAACUGAUUCUAUUAAUGAUUGUUCACAAUGAAACUAGGGAUGUGAACAUGAUGAAGUCGACAGUCAUUUCAACUCUGUGAUCUGAGGGAAAUACUCUUAUCCUGUGUCUCUGUGUUACACUGUCAUGUCUUAUGUUAUUCCUUGUCUGUUUUUCUUUCCUUAUACAGACCAAGAUAUUAUAGACUGACGAGCAUUUAGUUUUGCAUUCUAGAAAUAUUGUACUCAAUGUAGACCUCUGCAGUUGUAUAGGCUGUACGUGUAUUUUUAAAUGAUCAAAUAAAUUCUAGGAAUCAAUUAGUAUUGAGUUUGUGUGUGGGGAGGGUGCUGUUGGACAUUUACAAUAAUGCUGUUGGACAUUUACAAUAAUGCUGUUGGACAUUUACAAUAAAGCUGUUGGACAUUUACAAUAAAGCUGUUGGACAUUUACAAUAAUGCUGUUGGACAUUUACAAUAAAGCUGUUGGACAUUUACAAUAAUGCUGUUGGACAUUUACAAUAAAGCUGUUGGACAUUUACAAUAAAGCUGUUGGACAUUUACAAUAAAGCUGUUGGACAUUUACAAUAAUGCUGUUGGACAUUUACAAUAAAGCUGUUGGACAUUUACAAUAAAGCUGUUGGACAUUUACAAUAAUGCUGUUGGACAUUUACUGGUGUUGUUGUGUUAUUAUUGGAUGUUGUGCCAGGCAAUCUUUCCCAUCUUCACUUUGCCUCUUUCACUUUCUUUCUUACCGGGUGUGAUGAUGCAAUAGAUAUACUGCCACGGCCUUUAUAGCGGACAAGGGAUUUUAUUUGAUCUUAUCUGAUUUUGUGUGUAGGCCGAGACUGGAUUCUAUCCCCCAAAAUGUUAUUCCUCUGUGUGUUAUAUAAUUGUAGAGGUACAAAGUCUUUAGUAUUAGUUUUAUAUGGCUGUAUAAAGAUGACAGUUUAUUAUCACACUUCAGCCAAGAGGGGAAUUUAAUGCAGUUGAGAUGUGGGAAAGGGAAUUACCACUCUGCCAUCUGGAGUUUUACUACAUUUUUACCAAAACUGGAUUCCAUGUAACUUAGAGGUGAUUGAUUAUUCAUUAUAUCCACUCUAUUAGCCUCUGUCAAAUGCACUUUAAACUGUAAUACAUCUGUUCUGUGAUGUCCUCCAGCAUAUUGGAGAAUAUUCUAGAAUCUGACCCUUUCUACCCCUCUAUCUCUCUG